rnacentral:rRNA from 1 species
CUCUUCGGGGAUGAUUAAACCGGCGCACGGGUGAGUAACACGUGAGUGACCUGCCUUUUAGACUGGAACAACUUACCGAAAGGUGAGCUAAUGCCGGAUGAGUUAUAUAAGUGCAUGUUUAUAUAGGAAAAGUUGGGGAGACCUGACGCUGAAAGAUGGACUCGCGUCCCAUUAGCUAGUUGGUAGGGUAAUGGCCUACCAAGGCGACGAUGGGUAGCCGGCCUGAGAGGGUGGCCGGCCACACUGGGACUGAGACACGGCCCAGACUCCUACGGGAGGCAGCAGUGGGGAAUUUUGCGCAAUGCUCGUAAGAGUGACGCAGCGACGCCGCGUGAAUGACGAAGGCCUUCGGGUCGUAAAGUUCUUUCGACAGGGAAGAAAAUGCCUAUAAGUAACUGUGUAUGUAUUGACGGUACCUGUAUAAGCAGCCCCGGCUAACUCCGUGCCAGCAGCCGCGGUAAUACGGAGGGGGCGAGCGUUGUUCGGAGUGACUGGGCGUAAAGAGCACGUAGGCGGUGUUGUAAGUCAUUAGUCAAAGACUAGAGCUCAACUUUAGUAAGGCUAGUGAUACUAUAAUACUAGAGUAUCAGAGAGGAUUGCAGAAUUCCUGGUGUAGCGGUGAAAUGCGUAGAUAUCAGGAGGAAUACCGUUAGCGAAGGCGGCAAUCUGGCUGGAAACUGACGCUGAGGUGCGAAAGCGUGGGUAGCAAACAGGAUUAGAUACCCUGGUAGUCCACGCUGUAAACGAUGGAUGCUAGGUGUUGGGCUUUUAAGUUCAGUGCCGCAGCAAACGCGAUAAGCAUCCCGCC